GUUGAAUUUUGUGUUUACGGUGUAAUGGUUUAGUCAGGUGGUAGCGUUGCUCACUACUUAAUGCGGCGUUAGUUUACAAGAGUAGAAAAGGAUUUUUAUUCUAAGAGCUUGUCCGGUUAUUGUGCUUUUCACCUAUUGGUUUACUAAUCUCACGAACUUUCCGGUGGCACUAUAUGGGAAGCGUUCGCGGUUGGGUAGUUACUUACUGGCUCUAACUUUUUCGUGAUGGUUCUUUGGCGCGGCUUCUUUUUUUUGGUGGCUAAUCCGUAAUGUUGGUUUUAGUCGCACUUGGUUGUCAGGUUGGUCGAACGAAUCCUUUGCCAGUAAAAAUACUUCGAACUGUGGUUUUUAGCGCAUGUCGCUUCUUAGCCAAUUAAAUAUUGUUGGCUGGGUUUGAGUUUCGUAGUUUUCAGUUUUACAUCUGCGUCGAAAG
rnacentral:misc_RNA from 1 species